UACGUAGGGUGCAAGCGUUAAUCGGAAUUACUGGGCGUAAAGCGUGCGCAGGCGGUGAUGUAAGACAGGUGUGAAAUCCCCGGGCUUAACCUGGGAACUGCAUUUGUGACUGCAUCGCUGGAGGGUGGGCGAGGGUGGUGGAAUUGCCGGUGUAGUGGUGAAAUGCGUAGAGAUCGGCAGGAACACCCGUGGCGGAAGCGGCCACCUAGCCCGCACCUGACGCUGAGGCGCGACAGCGUGGGGAGCGAACGGG
rnacentral:rRNA from 1 species